GCCUCUGUGGCUCAGUUGGUAGAGCGCUGGCCUUGUAAGCCAAUGGUCGGGGGUUCAAAUCCCCCCAGAGGCUCCA
rnacentral:tRNA from 1 species